rnacentral:rRNA from 1 species
GACGAACGCUGGCGGCGUGCUUAACACAUGCAAGUCGAACGGAAAGGCCCUGCUUUUGUGUGGUGCUCGAGUGGCGAACGGGUGAGUAACACGUGAGUAACCUUCCCUUUACUUUGGGAUAACUUCAGGAAACUGGGGCUACUACCGGAUAGGAGCUCCUGCUGCAUGGUGGGGGUUGGAAAUUUUCGGCGGUUGGGGAUGGACUCGCGGCUUAUCAGCUUGUUGGUGGGGUAGUGGCUUACCAAGGCUUUGACGGGUAGCCGGCCUGAGAGGGUGACCGGCCACAUUGGGACUGAGAUACGGCCCAGACUCCUACGGGAGGCAGCAGUGGGGAAUAUUGCACAAUGGGCGGAAGCCUGAUGCAGAAACGCCGCGUGCGGGAUGACGGCCUUCGGGUUGUAAACCGCUUUCGCCUGUGACGAAGCGUGAGUGACGGUAAUGGGUAAAGAAGCACCGGCUAACUACGUG